GAGCUGAGAUCGGGUCGAGCUUGAUUCAGUUACCAGACGUAUCAAGAAAGGGUGAGAGGUGCCGGGGCGACCGCGGACGAUGAGGACGUUUCCGGCGAGUAGGGCUUCCAGGAGCGCGAGGAGGAUGGGCGGAGUGCUGGUGGGAGCAGCGGAAUGAACGGAUCCAAGUUCCUUUUGGAGUUCAAGUUCGUGCAAAGAGUCCACAAGGGAAUAUGCGAGGAUACAUCAACUCAAAGAAGUAAUAGCUCUCAUAUAAGCAACAGGGAAGCCAUUUGUUUAGAGAAUCAGGAAAUAAAGGGGAUGAUGAGGGACCUCAUCACUACCUUAAUAUAAAAUGCUGGUCAUUCUUUGGGCUCACAAAAUCUGUGUCUCCUCUUCAAACAUCCAGCUAAACCACGUAAAUGCAGCAGCAUGUGGAUUUCCAGCUCCGUGUUUGAUCCUGACAUGUAUCCUCAUCAAACCUUCAAGAAGUUGAUUAAACUUGAUGCCAAUUACUACAAACAUAAGAGAAUGUGAUCGAUGAUGCUAGGAUUUGACAGAGAAGGGAGCAUGCAGAUUCCGUUCCACGUGAAGUGGGUCCUGAAUGGAAUCCAUCGGAGUGGUUGAUUGAGAUGGAGGAGUUAUUAGAGACCCUCAAACAAGGUUCAAUAAGUUUUCCUCGUCUUUGUCCUGGUGAAGCCCACCACUUCUUCCGAGAGGAAAACACCAAACCAUGUCUCGAUCAAGAUGGGUAAGUUGAGCCACACAGCCAGUGAAAGGACAUGAAUGCUAAUUUGGUUGGGUGCAAUUAGCAUGACCAUGGACGGUUGAUAAGGGGUGUUGAAGCUGUUGCUGCUGAGCCAUUGCACCAUGUGAAUUCCAUGGCACAAAAGGGACGGAAACUCGCUGUCAAAUCUCAUCAAUUUAAGAUGGUGACAUGUGUUUGAUGAUCAUGUACAGGUGGGUGGAGGAUGGGAAGAUUCUGGAAACCACAAGGGACAGAAGUCAGUGGAGAUGUGCACUGUGGAUAACGUUGUCUCUGGGUUAUCACACAAUUGAUUGUGCCUUGCUUUCUCCAAAAGCCAAACAGUGCUUCAGAAGUCAAAGGUGAAAGUCAUACAGUAACUCCACUGUCAUAUAGCUUGUCUUUUGAUAUAUAUGCUUGUAUGGUUUCUUUAAGAAUGAUAUUCUCUUCUUUUUCCUCGGUCCUCUACCAUGAGUUUCUGGUCUAUACAGGUUUAUUUUAUUAAUCUACUUGUUUCUAACAUGGAAAAUUAAUUACCAACUGGAAACUGUUAUUAGGCUGAAAGUUUGAUUCUCCUUGUGAAGAAGACUUGGAUAGUGCUAUUGGCUGGGAUCUGUUUUUUACUUCUAUGCACU